rnacentral:misc_RNA from 1 species
AAAAUAAAUGGAUAUAUUAUUUAAUACUGAAUAAUAUUAUUAGGCUAAUGAAUCAUCCUAACACAUGAGAUAAGGGAAACGAGUUUUCCAUUGUAUUCUAUUUGCAUUGUCGUCUCCUGCAACUCAGCGGGGAUCACAUGAUCUGCACGUGGUUCUCCGAAUCAAAGGGUGUAAUUCCCAAAAAUUCACUUGGCAUUGUCUUCCAGUAUACUGAUGGCUCCCAGUCUGCCUCUCUAAGCACAUUCAAGAUCUCCUCCACCACUACUUCGCUCCCCUCUGCUGAAAGAUGGAUUCCAUCCACGAAGCAAGUUUUCAGCCAGUUUUCCUUUCGUUGUAUUGCAUUCCAAAGAUCAAUGCCUGGGAUCCUAAUCUCUUCCUCUCGGCACACCUCCAAACAAGCUUCUGAAUAUAUCCUGCAGCCCUCAUUGGUUCGACCAGUGUCAUUACCAAAAAAUUCGCGGAUCAUAUCCUCAUUGACAGGAGGAACACCGAGAAAGAUGACGCGAGUCUUCUCAGAAAGGCUCUUGAGAUGCCGAGCAAUUCGCCUCAUGUUAUCCUUAAACUCAUCAAGUGGAACAUGAGCAGAAGGCGCCCCAGAUGGAGGGAGCAUUGAAUCGUUGCCACCAAAAUAGACAAUAACCAGUGAAGGUUGUACAGAAGCAUCCUUGAUUGACAAACAACAGCAAAAUCAAUUAGUGUCUAAUCACAAAAGCUUAAUUAAUUAACAGCUUGGGAUGGUUUAAUUUUAAUCCAACAAUAAUAACCUUUGGGAAAACUUGAUGAAGAAUCUGUAGAGCAUUGCUUGAAUUCCAACCUCCAUAUCCUCUCAGCACAAUAUCUGCCUUACGAGCAUAGAUGUUAGCAAGAGCAGCACCCCAGCCUUGAUUGCCAUAACUGAACUGAACAAUGGAUGAUCCAAACAACACAAACUGUGGCCUAACUGGUCCUACCAUUCUGAUCUGAUCGAUCUUACACAGCCAACCCAAGCUAGCUUUUCUGCAAUUAAUGCUCCCCCUCUG